CUCUCUCUCUCUUUCUUCUGUCAUUCUUUUUCCUCUUUUCUCUUUCUCUUCUUCUUUCCACAACAAUGUUGCUCUGUCCUCUCAAUUUCUCUCUCCUUUCCUCUAGGGUUACGUACAUCCUCAUACUUUGUCCAUUCGCUCCUCCUCCUCCUCCGUCGACACACUGUCUCCCUCUCCUCUAUCGGCUCCUUUUCUACCCAGCAUCAGAGGUCCGCUUUCUUCCACUGGCCCUGGGAUUCCCCUUUCGCCUCCUUCUGCUUCAAGUUCAGCCUCGCUGUUCCCUUUUUUUUUUUUAAUACCAUUUCUCCUCCACCGCCACACCUUCUUCCUCUCAUUUAUCUCUCAGCCUUUGGGAGGCCUUUCAAUUCCAUAGCAAGAUCCUCGCCAUCAUCGGCAUCUCUCACUGCCUUUCCUCCCUAGAUCUCCAAACCCUCCGGACCCAGACCCUCGCCCUUUAUAGGCUCGGCUCCUCCAGAUCUCCAGACCAUCCUUGCUUGGAGGAAACAGAGAAAGAGAACAAUUAAAGCAUCUUCCUUUUCCCUUUUUCCUAACCCUAAGCUGACCCGCCUUUCAUCCCCGCCGCUCUUCUCACACUUCCUCUCCCUUUCCUGCCCUUUCUUCUCCCUAUCCCAUCUUACUACGUAUAGUUUACUUCUUUAUUCACCGGCACCCGAAUUCGAGUAUAAUCCUCCUUUGCCGUCCAAAACAACCUGUGGGAAGUUGGAUAAAGGUGCAUCAACGAUUGUAAGAUUUUUCUUGGUUGGGUCUUGUCAUCAGAUGCGUAAAAGGAGAGAUGGGGUUUAGUAGCUGUUUCAGUGCAUUUGGUUCUUGCAAGGGACAAAUAAAGCACAUGUGCCAUGAGCUAUGGUACAUUUGCUACUGGGGGUUGUGAUGGUUAUGUUAGUGUGUGGGAUGGAAACAACAAAAAAAGGCUGUAUCAGGU